GGUGCUGCGGCCCGCGCCGCCAUCUUGGAUUUUACUCUCCAUUUUUCUCUGGAAUUAUUUUUGGUGAUUAAUUUUCUGGGGGGGACUGGGACGCGGGGCCCGGCGGCGCGGCCCCGCAUCGCAGCGGCCGGGCAGCGGGGCCUGGGACGCGCCCCGAGGAGGAGCGGGGCGGCGCAGGCGGUAAUGGUAACUCGGGAUUUGAAGGACAGAGUCGCUAUGUACCAUCCUCUGGAAUGUCCGCCAAGGAACUCUGUGAAAAUGAUGACCUAGCAACCAGUUUGGUUCUUGAUCCCUAUUUAGGUUUUCAAACACACAAAAUGAAUACUAGCGCCUUUCCUUCGAGGAGCUCAAGGCAUUUUUCAAAAUCUGACAGUUUUUCUCACAACAACCCUGUGAGAUUUAGGCCUAUUAAAGGAAGGCAGGAAGAACUAAAGGAAGUAAUUGAACGUUUUAAGAAAGAUGAACACUUGGAGAAAGCCUUCAAAUGUUUGACUUCAGGCGAAUGGGCACGGCACUAUUUUCUCAACAAGAAUAAAAUGCAGGAGAAAUUAUUCAAAGAACAUGUAUUUAUUUAUUUGCGAAUGUUUGCAACUG
rnacentral:lncRNA from 1 species